GACGAACGCUGGCGGCGUGCUUAACACAUGCAAGUCGAACGGAAAGGCCCUGCUUUUGUGGGGUGCUCGAGUGGCGAACGGGUGAGUAACACGUGAGUAACCUGCCCUUGACUUUGGGAUAACUUCAGGAAACUGGGGCUAAUACCGGAUAGGAGCUCCUGCUGCAUGGUGGGGGUUGGAAAGUUUCGGCGGUUGGGGAUGGACUCGCGGCUUAUCAGCUUGUUGGUGGGGUAGUGGCUUACCAAGGCUUUGACGGGUAGCCGGCCUGGACGGGUGACCGGCCACGACAGAACUGAGGAACGACCGAGACUCCUACGGGAGGCAGCAGUGGGGAAGAUUGCACAAUGGUCGGAGACCUGAUGCAGCAACGCCGCGUGCGGGAUGACGGCCUUCGGGUUGUAAACCGCUUUCGCCUGUGACGAAGCGUGAGUGACGGUAAUGGGUAAAGAAGCACCGGCUAACUACGUG
rnacentral:rRNA from 1 species